UACGUAGGGGGGCUAGCGUUGUCCCGGAUUUAUUGGGCGUAAAGAGCGUGUAGGCGGCCAUGUAGGUCCGGUGUGAAAACUCGAGGCUUAACCUCGAGAUGUCAUCGGAAACCAUUUUGGCUAGAGUCCGGAAGAGGAGAGUGGAAUUCCUGGUGUAGCGGUGAAAUGCGCAGAUAUCAGGAGGAACACCGGUGGUGUAGACGGCUCACUGGACCGUAACUGACGCUGAGACACGAAAGCGUGGGUAGCAAACAGG
rnacentral:rRNA from 1 species